GUGCAAUCUAAUGUGAAUUUACAGUUCACCAUCUAAUGAUUUAUUAGUUAAAUUUGC
rnacentral:tRNA from 1 species